AAAAGAACAAAUGUUGGUCUGAUAUCAUCAGGAUCUCUGUCUCCAAGGUAAAAACUUCCUCGUGGCUGGUGUCGCAGCCCUUCCAGGGGCCUCCGGAAGACCUGAGCCUUUCUGUCAUGUAUGAACUUCGAGGUGAGCUCUUUGGAGGACCUUGGGGACUAUGAGCCACCUUCACAGAAACAUGCAGAAUCACGUCUGACCAAAUCCAUGAGCAUCGUGGCUGUGAACGUUGACACACACAAUGAACGUCACAAAGGGGAUACAGUAGACUACCAGCUCCUUUUUGGAAGUUGUCCCCAGUGGCUCCGCGUUAUACACUGACUGCGUGAAUGACAGAGGCUGCCAAGGACCCUCAGGAACCUGCUGAGGUUGGCCUCGCCUCAUACCAGCCUCCACAUGUGGCCCCUCGUAUGAAAUAACCUUCUGGAAGAAGCUGAGCAGCAAGAACUCUUAUAGAUAAGGGCUUUGAGAAACAGAGAGAAGAGACUUGUCACAACAAUGUCUAGAAUUUAC